rnacentral:rRNA from 1 species
AAUGAACGUUGGCGGCGUGGAUUAGGCAUGCAAGUCGAACGGGCUUGAUCUUCGGAUCAAGUCAGUGGCGCAAGGGUGAGUAAGGCGACGGUAACCAACCCUGGAAUUGGGGAUAGCCGCGGGAAACUGCGGGUAAUACCCAGCGAUGCAACGAACCGGCAUCGGUUUGUUGUCAAAGCUCCGGCGUUCCUGGACGGGCUGUCGUGGUAUUAGGUCGUUGGCGGGGUAACGGCCCACCAAGCCUUCGAUGCCUACCGGGCGUGCGAGCGUGGCCCGGCACACUGGGACUGAGACACUGCCCAGACACCUACGGGUGGCUGCAGUCGAGAAUCUUCGGCAAUGGGCGCAAGCCUGACCGAGCGACGCCGCGUGGAGGAUGAAGGCCUUCGGGUUGUAAACUCCUGUCGAGGGGGAGGAAGGGGUAACCUUGACCGAUCCCUGGAGGAAGCACGGGCUAAGUUCGUGCCAGCAGCCGCCGUAACAC